UUGCAAUGAUGUAGAUGUGACUGAACUGACACUGCUGACCUCUGGGUCAUCUCUGGCCAGGAAAUUACCUGUUAAUCUUCUCUCUGAGCAG